rnacentral:lncRNA from 1 species
GUUUUAUGGAGACUUUCUGGAACAGUUGAGAAAACCAAAAGCCAAGGCACCACUUCCUCCAGCUGAGACCAAAUAUACUGAUGUCUCUUCAGCUGCUGAUUCUGUAGAAUCCACUGCUUUCAUCAUGGAACAGAAAGAAAACAUGAUAGAUAAAGACGUUGAACUCUCAGUGGUCCUACCUGGGGAUAUUAUCAAAUCUACUACUGUUCAUGGCAGGUACGCUGGAGUAAAUGAAAUAUCAGGACCUCCCCUUCUUAUUCCACCAUUGAAAGUCUCUGUGAUAUACGUCUUGAUGUUUGUUCUUUGACAAAACACUUCAUUUAUCACUCAGUUUAGUUACCUGUUAAAAAAAAAGACUGCUAAAAUGGUGUUAAAAAUUUUCUAUCAAUGUUUUAAUAUCAGUGCUAUGAAUUCCACAAACCCAAUUAAAUGACUCUUGAAAUUUGGAACCCUUUCAUAUCUCGUUAGUUAUUUAACAAGUUUUUAAAAAUAAGCCUUUCCUGGAGGAAUGGCCAUUAGUUAUAUUGAUUUUGUAAACCAAACUUACAAAACAAGCCCAGUGACCCACAGGAAAAUCCUAUCCUUUUCUUCUCAAAUUGUUCUUCCCACUUUAAGCUGCUUCUUUAAGUUUACAAAACUCUUAAUUUUAAGAGUUUUAUUACUCUUAAAAUGUAAUACUUUUGUAUGUAUCAAAACAGUUAAAUCUGUCUGUAA